ACGAACGCUGGCGGCGUGCUUAACACAUGCAAGUCGAACGGAAAGGCCCUGCUUUUGUGAGGUGCUCGAGUGGCGAACGGGUGAGUAACGCGUGAGUAACCUGCCCUUGACUUUGGGAUAACUUCAGGAAACUGGGGCUAAUACCGGAUAGGAGCUCCUGCUGCAUGGUGGGGGUUGGAAAGUUUCGGCGGUUGGGGAUGGACUCGCGGCUUAUCAGCUUGUUGGUGGGGUAGUGGCUUACCAAGGCUUUGACGGGUAGCCGGCCUGAGAGGGUGACCGGCCACAUUGGGACUGAGAUACGGCCCAGACUCCUACGGGAGGCAGCAGUGGGGAAUAUUGCACAAUGGGCGGAAGCCUGAUGCAGCAACGCCGCGUGCGGGAUGACGGCCUUCGGGUUGUAAACCGCUUUCGCCUGUGACGAAGCGUGAGUGACGGUAAUGGGUAAAGAAGCACCGGCUAACUACGUG
rnacentral:rRNA from 1 species